rnacentral:misc_RNA from 1 species
AGCAGUCUUCCCCAUCCCAGAUUUUGCUUGGCAAAUGACAUCCAUUCCUAGUAUAGCUUGAGGGAUGCAUUCAUGUUGCACUGAUGAAGGAAACAAAAUCGUAGUGGACGAAUCCUCAGUAAGUAUAAAGACCUUCCAGAUCCUUUUAAAGGAAAGGUUUACCAAGACCAGUUUUCUUGCUGAAAUUAUGACUUUCAGCAAUUAUAGUUAGUAAUAAUUACCUUCUGAAGGAUGUUCAAAUCCAGAAUCUACAAUGGCUCGUAGAAGCUCUGGCUUCAACAGGAAGUCUCGGAAUCCGGAACUGUGAAUUCCAACGUAGCCCUUCUUAGCAGAUUCAGCAGCGGCCUUAGCGGAGACGGAGUCUGGGGCAUUUUCGACCUCUUCCUCGUAGUCGAGCAGCUCCUCCUCGUAGGCGUCGUUUUCUUUUGCUUCACCCAUUUUGCCUUAAGAGCUCGAAGAGUUUACGAGGGUUUUGAAAGAAAUAAGCAGAAAAUGGAAGAGAAAGAGAGAGUGAGGGGAGCUG